rnacentral:ncRNA from 1 species
GGACCAAGGAGUCUGACAUGCGUGCGAGUCGACGGGUUUUGAAACCUGGGAUGCGCAAGGAAGCUGACGAGCGGGAGGCCCUCACGGGCCGCACCGCUGGCCGACCCUGAUCUUCUGUGAAGGGUUCGAGUUGGACACCGCCUGUCGGGACCCGAAAGAUGGUGAACUAUGCCUGAGCGGGGCGAAGCCAGAGGAAACUCUGGUGGAGGCUCGAAGCGAUACUGACGUGCAAAUCGUUCGUCUGACUUGGGUAUAGGGG